GGGCACCCUCCCUUGUUUUGUCUGCGACACCGGCACAGGGUGGCCACACGGGGUGGGACCUAACCCAGAAGCCUCUGAGCCAGAGACCCCUGUGCUCCUGCCAUUUGGGCCAUAAAUUCCUCUAAGGAGACAAUCUAACUUGACCUUGGCCCCGGGCCUCCAGGAACUCCCAUCCCAGAUUCUAAACCAUGGGACUGCCCAUUUUGUCAGUUCAUGGAGGCCCAGGAUCUGAGUCAGGGAGACAAGCCUGUCAUCCCUGUCUCAGUUCAGGGUAUAAGGAGGAUUGGGUAGGAGGCCCCCUGUCCUUUGCCCAAACAUUAGAACUUGUCUGAGAGUGCCUUCCCAAGACGCGGGACCCAGGUGGAUCAGAGACACUUGCAACAAAGCAGGUGUUCUCCCCGGCCAUUGAGCGAGCUGAGUGGCAGCUGUCUUGCUUAUAGGAACAGCAGAGGCAACACUAUCGGGGGUACCACCCACUAGGACAGAGAAGGUCUCAUAAUAUCGGGCCACAAACAAGAUCCACAGAAAGACACCAUGGGUUCGCCCAAGUCUAAACCCAUGAUCCUAGAAUGUGUGAUCAAAGAUUUCAAAAAGGAUUUUCUUAACUAACCUGAUCUUUCAUCAUUUCCUUUGCUGUUACCUCAAAUAGAGCUGUGGGGGCAAAGGAAACAGAUCUAGAUGUUAAGACCACCCUGAGUUGUUACCAUGCCUCUGGGGGAAAAGGAGUUCAUAACUAGUAUUCAGCCAACUUAGGCCAAGUGUUUAGCCUCAGAGCCUGAGCAUGUCAGUUUUGCUUUUUGCUAUUUAUGUUCACCCUGGUUGGAGAAAUCGACAGCUGGUUCAUCCAACUUACCUGUUAACUGUGGCUUAGAAACUUUCCUAAUAUUAAUAGAGGGCAUGUCAGAGCGAAUCUUGGGAUUCAAAAACUCAGGGCAGGGCCUGUAUGCCUGGGUUUUCUUUACCUCUGUCCAGAGACAGGCAAUGGGCAGGGAAGAGAGGCUAUGCUGGUAAAGAGUGGUUAAUUCCAGUCAGCCUAAGGUCGGAUGGGAUAUUUGACCACUAAUGUCUAGCUGCUCCCUCUAAGAGAGGGGACGGCCUCACAUAACCAAGAAGGGACAAUAGGCACUAGAUGCUGAUCUUUCCUCUUUUUCGGAUGGGAGCCACAUCCUCAAGCCUGGUGCACGGCUCAAUAGCAACUCCUCUGACAUGUGCCUUGAAGAACUGGAAAAGGUUUGACCCUGAGGCUCUGAAAAAGAAACAUUUAACUUUCUUUUGCACAAAAGCCUGGCCACUAUAUCAUCUGUCAGAUGGAGAGUGAUGGCCGUCUGAAGGCUCUCUAGCUGAUAAUACUAUUCUCCAAUGAGACCUAUUUGGUAGAUGAGAAGGGGGAUGGUCAGAGGUGCCUUAUGUCAGAUCUUUACAAUGAGGGAAGACACUACACUGAGGAAGGCUUGUGGACUUUCUCAGUACAUUAUGCCAACUCCCUCAAGACCUAGGUGCCCACCAUAUCCUGGCCCAACUGGGUCAGACCCUCCAGAAGUUAAUCAGCCUUCUCCAAUACCGCCCAAGGCUCCUCUUCCCCCUCCAGUGCCAAAGUUAUAUCC
rnacentral:lncRNA from 1 species